GAUCAUGGCUCAGGAUGAACGCUGACAGAAUGCUUAACACAUGCAAGUCUACUUGAACUUCGGUUUGGGUGGCGGACGGGUGAGUAACGCGUAAAGAACUUGCCUUACAGUUAGGGACAACAUUUGGAAACGAAUGCUAAUACCUGAUAUUAUGAUUUUAGGGCAUCCUAAGAUUAUGAAAGCUAUAUGUGCUGUGAGAGAGCUUUGUGUCCCAUUAGCUAGUUGGAGAGGUAACGG
rnacentral:rRNA from 1 species